CGCUGGCGGCAUGCCUUACACAUGCAAGCCGAACGGCAGCACGGAGCUUGCUCUGGUGGCGAGUGGCGAACGGGUGAGUAAUAUAUCGGAACGUACCCAGGAGUGGGGGAUAACGUAGCGAAAGUUACGCUAAUACCGCAUACGACCCAAGGGUGAAAGUGGGGGAUCGCAAGACCUCAUGCUUAUGGAGCGGCCGAUAUCUGAUUAGCUAGUUGGUGGGGUAAAGGCCUACCAAGGCAACGAUCAGUAGCUGGUCUGAGAGGACGACCAGCCACACUGGAACUGAGACACGGUCCAGACUCCUACGGGAGGCAGCAGUGGGGAAUUUUGGACAAUGGGGGCAACCCUGAUCCAGCAAUGCCGCGUGAGUGAAGAAGGCCUUCGGGUUGUAAAGCUCUUUUGUCAGGGAAGAAAAGGUCGCAGCUAAUAUCUGUGGCUCAUGACGGUACCUGAAGAAUAAGCACCGGCU
rnacentral:rRNA from 1 species